rnacentral:rRNA from 1 species
AACGAACGCUGGCGGCAUGCCUAACACAUGCCAGUCGAACGAGACCUUCGGGUCUAGUGGCGCACGGGUGCGUAACGCGUGGGAACCUUCUCUUAGGUUCGGAAUAACUCCCCGAAAGGGGUGCUAAUACCGGAUAAUGUCUUCGGCCCAAAGAUUUAUCGCCUUUGGAUGGGCCCGCGUUGGAUUAGCUAGUUGGUAGGGUAAAAGCCUACCAAGGCGACGAUCCAUAGCUGGUCUGAGAGGAUGAUCAGCCACACUGGGACUGAGACACGGCCCAGACUCCUACGGGAGGCAGCAGUGGGGAAUAUUGGACAAUGGGCGAAAGCCUGAUCCAGCAAGGCCGCGUGAGUGAUGAAGGCCUUAGGGUUGUAAAGCUCUUUUACCCGGGAUGAUAAUGACAGUACCGGGAGAAUAAGCUCCGGCUAACUCCGUG